UGGGGAAUUGUUCGCAAUGGGCGCAAGCCUGACGACGCAACGCCGCGUGGAGGAUGAAGGUCUUCGGAUUGUAAACUCCUGUUGAUCGGGGCGAAAAGCUUCAACCUAAUACGUUGAAGACUGACGGUACCGGUUGAGGAAGCCACGGCUAACUCUGUGCCAGCAGCCGCGGUAAUACAGAGGUGGCAAGCGUUGUUCGGAAUUACUGGGCGUAAAGGGCGCGUAGGCGGCCUCCUAAGUCGGACGUGAAAGCCCCAGGCUUAACCUGGGAACUGCGUCUGAUACUGGGAGGCUUGGAUUCGGGAGAGGGAUGUGGAAUUCCAGGUGUAGCGGUGAAAUGCGUAGAUAUCUGGAGGAACACCGGUGGCGAAGGCGGCAUCCUGGACCGAGAUCGACGCUGAGGCGCGAAAGCUAGGGGAGCAAACGGGAUUAGAUACCCCCGUAGUCCCUGAGCGGGCUGGCAAGGCGCAU
rnacentral:rRNA from 1 species